rnacentral:rRNA from 1 species
CUCAGUGGCGGACGGGUGAUAACACGUGAGAAUCUAGCUUCAGGUCGGGGAUAACAGAGGGAAACCGCUGCUAAUACCGAAUGUGCCGAGAGGUGAAAGACAAGUUGCCUGAGGAUGAGCUCGCGGCGGAUUAGCUAGUUGGUGGGGUAAAAGCCUACCAGGGCGACGAUCCGUAGCUGGUCUGAGAGGACGAGCAGCCACACUGGGACUGAGACAAGGCCCAGACUCCUACGGGAGGCAGCAGUGGGGAAUUUUCCGCAAUGGGCGAAAGCCUGACGGAGCAAGACCGCGUGAGGGAGGAAGGCUCUUGGGUUGUAAACCUCUUUUCUUUGGGAAGAAGAAAGUGACGGUACCAAAGGAAUCAGCAUCGGCUAACUCCGUGCCAGCAGCCGCGGUAGUACGGAGGAUGCAAGCGUUAUCCGGAAUCAUUGGGCGUAAGCGUCCGCAGUGGUGGGGCAAGUCGCUGUCAAGGUCACAGCUUACUGUGAACAGGCGGUGGAAACUG